rnacentral:rRNA from 1 species
GACGAACGCUGGCGGCGUGCUUAACACAUGCAAGUCGAACGGAAAGGCCCUGCUUUUGUGGGGUGCUCGAGUGGCGAACGGGUGAGUAACACGUGAGUAACCUGCCCUUGACUUUGGGAUAACUUCAGGAAACUGGGGCUAAUACCGGAUAGGAGCUCCUGCUGCAUGGUGGGGGUUGGAAAGUUUCGGCGUUUGGGGAUGGACUCGCGGCUUAUCAGCUUGUUGGUGGGGUAGUGGCUUACGAAGGCUUUGACGGGUAGCCGGCAUGGGAGGGUGGCCGGCCACAUUGGGACUGAGAUACGGCGCAGACUCCUACGGGAGGCAGCAGUGGGGAAUAUUGCACAAUGGGCGGAAGCCUGUUGCAGCAACGCCGCGUGCGGGAUGACGGCCUUCGGGUUGUAAACCGCUUUCGCCUGUGACGAAGCGUGAGUGACGGUAAUGGGUAAAGAAGCACCGGCUAACUACGUG